rnacentral:lncRNA from 1 species
UGGGCCAAGCCAUUGAGGGGAAGUCCUUAGAGCAUAUCGAUCUUGCUUUGGCUUCUGCAGGGGAUCCAUCUCAUGUAGCUUCUUAGCUUCUUUCACAUAAGAGCUUCCAUCUAGAAUGUGCUCCAUAAUGGCAGCAGCCUCGAUUUGGCCAGGAUGGUGCUUCAAUUUGUGAGUCAAGUGGUCAGUGAAUUCAGGCUUCCCCUGCAUCACUUCAGCGAAAAUAGCAGAUAAAACUUCAGACAACACCGCCAGAACAUUGGCCUCGAAAAGCACCAUAGAGGCCAAACCAGAGCCAACUGCAGUGCCAUUAACAAGAGCCAGGCCUUCCUUGGGCUGCAGCUCAAAAAAUCCGGACUCAAUUCCAGCCAUUUUAAAGGCCUCUUCAGCAUUGACAACUUCACCGGUAGGUCCAACAGCUUUGGAAUUAGGCCUGCCAGUGAGAAGACCGGCAAUGUAGGAGAGAGGAACCAAAUCUCCAGAGGCAGUGAUGGUGCCACGCAGAGGCAAGCUUGGAGUGAUGUUGUGGUUGAGGAGCUUGGUUAUGGCUUCCAGGAUCUCAAAUCUGAUGCCGGAGUAGCCUUGGAGGAGGGUGUUGAUCCUCACUAGCAUGGCAGCUCUUGUUGCUGAGUG